CUUUAGAAAGACUUUCAAUAGCUUGCAUAUUUCAGAUGCAAUGUUUGCUAAAUGUUUAACUAGCAAUUGAUUUCAUAGUCAAUUAGUAAUAAUUUAUUCUCAGGUUGAUUUUGCUAGUGUAGAGCCUGCAGGUUUGAUUUCACCAGUGUGUUUGCUGAGGCUCUGUUUUUCACCUGUCUCAUUGACCAUGGCUCAAACCAAGAGUUUGUACCCCAGACAUAAUGUUGUGAUUCUAGUGUACAUACGUAUAUGUUAUCAAAUGUAGCAGUAUGUCUAUUUAAUAUGAAAUUAUUACAUUAUCAUUAGAUGACUUCUUUCUUUUUCAAGUCAGGAUAGACCGAGCUCAGAAUAGAUGGUGAAAGAAUUAUGGGAAUUGGAAUAAAAAAUGACUAAAAAAAAAUGGAAGCAUACAACUUGUAGACAUUUCACAAUAGCACCGAUUGCUUGUAACACUUAUACUACUGAAAGAUUAUAGUUUCUAAGUUAACUGUACAAAACAAGUAGCUAGUACAUUUUAUGCUGCUGCCUGUUUUAAAUAGUCAAAAGUACAUUGUAUACAUAUUGAAACAAUUCAAUCCUAAGAUAAAGAAUAUAUGCAAUUUUUAUAGCUGAAUUAUUUAGAUUGACUAAAUAUAAUUAUGUUAUUUUUUUUUUUUAAACAAAUAUUCUGAAAAUUACUUAUUAGCUACCAAUUCAUUGUUUAUUCCUUUAUAUUUCCCUGCAACAUAAGGCAUUAAAAACAUGUGCAUUCAAAUUGUGAUUAUGCAAACAUUCAAAUUAAAAUGACCUUCAACUUAAACAUAGUUUUGGUACUUUUGUUUUAUCAUUUGUCUUUCUUGGAAAAAAAAAUUUCUUCAACUUGAAUUGGACUUAAAAACUCAGUCA